rnacentral:rRNA from 1 species
GGGUUGUGAGGUUAAGCGACUAAGCGUACACGGUGGAUGCCCUGGCAGUCAGAGGCGAUGAAGGGCGUGCUAAUCUGCGAUAAGCGCCGGUAAGGUGAUAUGAACCGUUAUAACCGGCGAUACCCGAAUGGGGAAACCCAGUGUGAUUCGUCACACUAUCAUUAACUGAAUCCAUAGGUUAAUGAGGCGAACCGGGGGAACUGAAACAUCUAAGUACCCCGAGGAAAAGAAAUCAACCGAGAUUCCCCCAGUAGCGGCGAGCGAACGGGGAGGAGCCCAGAGCCUGAAUCAGCAUGUGUGUUAGUGGAAGCGUCUGGAAAGGCGCGCGAUACAGGGUGACAGCCCCGUACACAAAAGCGCAUAUGCUGUGAGCUCGAUGAGUAGGGCGGGACACGUGGUAUCCUGUCUGAAUAUGGGGGGACCAUCCUCCAAGGCUAAAUACUCCUGACUGACCGAUAGUGAACCAGUACCGUGAGGGAAAGGCGAAAAGAACCCCGGCGAGGGGAGUGAAAAAGAACCUGAAACCGUGUACGUACAAGCAGUGGGAGCCCCACCACUAAGCCAGUGGUGAACUCCACAUACGCAUCCUUUGCUGAGGAGACGGUUAACGGAGCGAAAGCGACGUUCAACCUCAAAAGAAGCAGAGGGGGCUUAGUGGUGGGGUGACUGCGUACCUUUUGUAUAAUGGGUCAGCGACUUAUAUUCUGUAGCAAGGUUAACUGUAUAGGGGAGCCGGAGGGAAACCGAGUCUUAACCGGGCGUUAAGUUGCAGGGUAUAGACCCGAAACCCGGUGAUCUAGCCAUGGGCAGGUUGAAGGUUGGGUAACACUAACUGGAGGACCGAACCGACUAAUGUUGAAAAAUUAGCGGAUGACCUGUGGCUGGGGGUGAAAGGCCAAUCAAACCGGGAGAUAGCUGGUUCUCCCCGAAAGCUAUUUAGGUAGCGCCUCGUGAAUUCAUCUCCGGGGGUAGAGCACUGUUUCGGCUAGGGGGCCAUCCCGGCUUACCAACCCGAUGCAAACUGCGAAUACCGGAGAAUGUUAUCACGGGAGACACACGGCGGGUGCUAAUGUCCGUCGUGAAGAGGGAAACAACCCAGACCGCCAGCUAAGGUCCCAAAGUCAUGGUUAAGUGGGAAACGAUGUGGGAAGGCCCAGACAGCCAGGAUGUUGGCUUAGAAGCAGCCAUCAUUUAAAGAAAGCGUAAUAGCUCACUGGUCGAGUCGGCCUGCGCGGAAGAUGUAACGGGGCUAAACCAUGCACCGAAGCUGCGGCAGCGACACCGUGUGUUGUUGGGUAGGGGAGCGUUCUGUAAGCCUGUGAAGGUGUGCUGUGAGGCAUGCUGGAGGUAUCAGAAGUGCGAAUGCUGACAUAAGUAACGAUAAAGCGGGUGAAAAGCCCGCUCGCCGGAAGACCAAGGGUUCCUGUCCAACGUUAAUCGGGGCAGGGUGAGUCGACCCCUAAGGCGAGGCCGAAAGGCGUAGUCGAUGGGAAACGGGUUAAUAUUCCCGUACUUGGUGUUACUGCGAAGGGGGGACGGAGAAGGCUAUGUUGGCCGGGCGACGGUUGUCCCGGUUUAAGCGUGUAGGUAUGUGUUCCAGGUAAAUCCGGUUCACUUUAACACUGAGGCGUGACGACGAGGCACUACGGUGCUGAAGCAACAAAUGCCCUGCUUCCAGGAAAAGCCUCUAAGCAUCAGGUAACAUCAAAUCGUACCCCAAACCGACACAGGUGGUCAGGUAGAGAAUACCAAGGCGCUUGAGAGAACUCGGGUGAAGGAACUAGGCAAAAUGGUGCCGUAACUUCGGGAGAAGGCACGCUGACACGUAGGUGAAGUGAUUUACUCACGGAGCUGAAGUCAGCCGAAGAUACCAGCUGGCUGCAACUGUUUAUUAAAAACACAGCACUGUGCAAACACGAAAGUGGACGUAUACGGUGUGACGCCUGCCCGGUGCCGGAAGGUUAAUUGAUGGGGUCAGCGCAAGCGAAGCUCCUGAUCGAAGCCCCGGUAAACGGCGGCCGUAACUAUAACGGUCCUAAGGUAGCGAAAUUCCUUGUCGGGUAAGUUCCGACCUGCACGAAUGGCGUAAUGAUGGCCAGGCUGUCUCCACCCGA